UACGUAGGGGGCUAGCGUUGUCCGGAAUCAUUGGGCGUAAAGAGCGCGUAGGCGGCUAGAUAAGUCCGGUGUGAAAGUCACAGGCUCAACCUGUGAAUGCCGCUGGAAACUGUCUGCUAGAGUCCGGAAGGGGCGAGUGGAAUUCCUGGUGUAGCGGUGAAAUGCGCAGAUAUCAGGGGGAACACCGGUGGCGAAGGCGGUUCUCUGGGCAUUACCUGACGCUGAGGAGCGAAAGUGUGGGGAGCGAACAGG
rnacentral:rRNA from 1 species